CAUGCAAGUCGUGCGAGAAAGUACCUUCGGGUGCGAGUAGAGCGGCGGACGGGUGAGUAACGCGUAGGAAUCUACCUAGUAGAAGGGGAUAGCCCGGGGAAACUCGGAUUAAUACCGUAUACCUCCUCAGGGAGAAAGAGGGCUUAGCUUUGAUGCUCUCGCUAUUAGAUGAGCCUGCGUAAGAUUAGCUUGUUGGUGAGGUAAUGGCUCACCAAGGCGACGAUCUUUAGCUGGUCUGAGAGGACGAUCAGCCACAUUGGGACUGAGACACGGCCUAGACUCCUACGGGAGGCAGCAGUGGGGAAUAUUGGACAAUGGGCGCAAGCCUGAUCCAGCCAUACCGCGUGUGUGAAGAAGGCUUUCGGGUUGUAAAGCACUUUAAGUAAGGAGAAAAAGAUUGUAGUUAAUACCUGCAAUCCGUGAUGUUACUUACAGAAUAAGGACCGGCUAAUUCCGUGCCAGCAGCCGCGGUAAUACGGAAGGUCCAAGCGUUAAUCGGAAUUACUGGGCGUAAAGCGCGCGUAGGUGGUUUUUUAAGUUGGAUGUGAAAGCCCUGGGCUCAACCUGGGAACUGCAUCCAAAACUAGAUGACUAGAGUACGAAAGAGGGAGGUAGAAUUCACAGUGUAGCGGUGGAAUGCGUAGAUAUUGUGAAGAAUACCAAUGGCGAAGGCAGCCUCCUGGUUCUGUACUGACACUAAGGUGCGAAAGCGUGGGUAGCGAACAGGAUUAGAUACCCUGGUAGUCCACGCCGUAUACGAUGACAACUAGCUGUUGGGAGACGAGAUCUCUCAGUGGCGCAGCUAACGCUUUAAGUUGUCCGCCUGGGGAGUACGGCCGCAAGGUUAAAACUCAAAUGAAUUGACGGGGACCCGCACAAGCGGUGGAGCAUGUGGUUUAUUUCGAUGCAACGCGAAAAACCUUACCUACUCUUGACAU
rnacentral:rRNA from 1 species